rnacentral:rRNA from 1 species
GACGAACGCUGGCGGCGUGCUUAACACAUGCAAGUCGAACGGAAAGGCCCUGCUUUUGUGGGGUGCUCGAGUGGCGAACGGGUGAGUAACACGUGAGUAACCUGCCCUUGACUUUGGGAUAACUUCAGGUAACUGGGGCUAAUACCGGAUAGGAGCUCCUGCUGCAUGGUGGGGGUUGGAAAGUUUCGGCGGUCGGGGAUGGACUCGCGGCUGACCAGCUUGUUGGUGGGGUAGUGGCUUACCAAGGCUUUGACGGGUAGCCGGCCUGAGAGGGUGACCGGCCACAUUGGGACUGAGAUACGGACCAGACUCCUACGUGAGACAGCAGUGGGGAAUAUUGCACAAUGGGAGGAAGCCUGAUGCAGCGACGCCGCGGGCGGGAUGACGGCCUUCGGGUUGUAAACCGCUUUCGCCUGUGACGAAGCGUGAGUGACGGUAAUGGGUAAAGAAGCACCGGCUAACUACGUG